AGCGAACGCUGGCGGCAGGCUUAACACAUGCAAGUCGAGCGGGCCCCUCGGGGUCAGCGGCGGACGGGUGAGUAACGCGUGGGAACGUGCCUUCUGGUUCGGAAUAACUCAGGGAAACUUGAGCUAAUACCGGAUACGCCCUUUUGGGGAAAGGUUUACUGCCGGAAGAUCGGCCCGCGUCUGAUUAGCUAGUUGGUGGGGUAACGGCCUACCAAGGCGACGAUCAGUAGCUGGUCUGAGAGGAUGAUCAGCCACACUGGGACUGAGACACGGCCCAGACUCCUACGGGAGGCAGCAGUGGGGAAUAUUGGACAAUGGGCGCAAGCCUGAUCCAGCCAUGCCGCGUGAGUGAUGAAGGCCUUAGGGUUGUAAAGCUCUUUUAUCCGGGACGAUAAUGACGGUACCGGAGGAAUAAGCCCCGGCUAACCUCGUG
rnacentral:rRNA from 1 species